rnacentral:rRNA from 1 species
UACGAAGGGGGCUAGCGUUGCUCGGAAUCACUGGGCGUAAAGGGUGCGUAGGCGGGUCUUUAAGUCAGGGGUGAAAUCCUGGAGCUCAACUCCAGAACUGCCUUUGAUACUGAAGAUCUUGAGUCCGGGAGAGGUGAGUGGAACUGCGAGUGUAGAGGUGAAAUUCGUAGAUAUUCGCAAGAACACCAGUGGCGAAGGCGGCUCACUGGCCCGGUACUGACGCUGAGGCACGAAAGCGUGGGGAGUAAACAGG